GAAGAAUUUUCGAAUACUUUGUUUAAUAAAUGCUUGCAUACAUAUAUUGGAAAGGAAGGAGUAUAAAAAUUUUGGUAAAAUUCAUAUAAUAUAUAAUUAACAUUUUGUAUCGAAAAUGUAUCCCGGACUGAGGAAAAUUAUAAAUUACAAAGGAGAGACUCUACCGAAAUUCAAAAGAUUGUCACUAUAACAAUAAAUUCAAGAAUUUUUCGUCAAGUAUGGCGGAAGGAAACACACCUCGUCUGUAAAGAAGAAAGCGUUAUUCAGAAAAAUCAUUCAAAAAAAGUGUUAUUUAGAUAAAGGUUAUUAUUUCGUGUGAAACGUGCGACGAUAGCGCCAACGGAGAAGUAGGCAGCACACAUCCUCGAACAUAUCGAUAUUUCUCAUGAUCAGUUUUUAAAUGAGAAAUAUGGCGGACGGAAGCACAUCUCGUCUGUAAAGAAGAAAGCAUUAUUCAGAAAAAUCAUUCAGA